AGGUCACGGCGAGACGAGCCGUUUAUCAUUACGAUAGGUGUCAAGUGGAAGAUGGCCUUCAACAAAAAAAGUGGAAGGUGGCCUUCAACAAAAAAAAAGUG
rnacentral:rRNA from 1 species